AUUGAACGCUGGCGGCAGGCUUAACACAUGCAAGUCGAGGGGGGGAAGGUAGCUUGCUACCGGACCUAGCGGCGGACGGGUGAGUAAUGCUUAGGAAUCUGCCUAUUAGUGGGGGACAACAUCUCGAAAGGGAUGCUAAUACCGCAUACGUCCUACGGGAGAAAGCAGGGGAUCUUCGGACCUUGCGCUAAUAGAUGAGCCUAAGUCGGAUUAGCUAGUUGGGGGGGUAAAGGCCUACCAAGGCGGAGAUCGGGAGUGGGUCUGAGAGGAUGGACCGCCACACUGGGACUGAGACACGGGCCAGACUCCUACGGGAGGCAGCAGUGGGGAAUAUUGGACAAUGGGCGGAAGCCUGAUCCAGCCAUGCCGCGUGUGUGAAGAAGGCCUUAUGGUUGUAAAGCACUUUAAGCGAGGAGGAGGCUACUUUAGUUAAUACCUAGAGAUAGUGGACGUUACUCGCAGAAUAAGCACCGGCUAACUCUGUGCCAGCCGCCGCAGUAA
rnacentral:rRNA from 1 species